AUGGGUACUAAUUUAGCCACCUGAUUGUAAGAGAAUAUCCUGCAGGAUUCAGCAAGCAAUUUGUUUAUGUUUCUGCAGCUACAAGUAAGAUGCAAUUAUAUGGAUGGUGGCCCACUCACUCACCCGAUUUCUGGUAUGUGCAUAAUGAAAGGAAGAGAGCUUGCCAUCCUCUAUAGUGGAGGAAAUUCCAUAAUGAGGAAAUAAACAGGAAAACAUAAUUUUAAGCAUGCUUACCACCAUGUUAACCAUUAUAUUAGAUCGCUCAAUUUUGGAAGGAUAACAUGUGAAAGGAGAAAGGAGAAUCUCAGUACCAGACAAAAGCCAAGCCUUUAUUUGAAGUGACUAUCAGGUUAAAAUUUUUGGCAAUGUAUAGCUAAGAAAAAAAAAGAGUUGACAAAGGUUGUUGAUUUCUGGAGGUUAGAAAAACAUUUGUUCCUAUGUUUUGAUUUUAUUUGGUUCAAAUUGGUAAGUUAUCUUAUUUUGUAGAUAGUUAAGUGUUUUCCAUAUUCAACAAAAGCUUGUACAUGCAAAUGGGAUAUUCCUUGUUUGUGGCUUAUGGAAAGCAUCAUGCUGCUUGGAGAUUGAGGCCUGAAUAUUGUCUCGCAGGUCUAAGGAGCAGAGUUUUUAGUUUUUCAUCCUGCUUAUUAAUUGUCUUGUGAGGGUUUUUGAUGCUU
rnacentral:lncRNA from 1 species